rnacentral:ncRNA from 2 species
GCGAUCCCACGGGUGCCCUGGCAAGGGCUGAGAUCGGACUGCUGCCGUCCGGACCGUCGAACCUGACCGGGUCAUGCCGGCGUAGGAAGCAGGAGCACACAUGGA